UAAAAUUUAGAUUUAGAUUUAAAUUAUAAUUGUAUUGAUUAAUUAAAUGAAAAUUUUUGUAAUCGAUUUUAGAUAAUAUAUAAAUUUAUUAGUAAAUUUUAUUGAUGUAAGAAAUUAUAUAAUAGAAAUUUAUAUUAGUAUUAACAAAAUUUGUGCCAGCAGUUGCGGUUAUGCAAAUAAUACAAUUUAUAAUUAUUAGUUAAUAAUAAGUUAUUUAUAAAGUAAAUUUAAACUAAAUAUUUUUAGGUGAAAUUAAUAUAUUUAAAUAAUUUUAUUUAAGGUUUAUGAUUUAUGAAGUUUAUUUUUAAACUAGGAUUAGAUACCCUAUUAUUAUAAAAGUUAAAAAUUAACUAGAUUAGUAUUAGUUAUUUUCUUGAAAGUUAAAAAAUUUGGCGGUAUUUUAGUCUUUUUAGAGGAACCUGUCCUAUAAUUGAUAGUACACAAUUUAUUUUACUUAUCUUAUUAGCUUAUAUAUCAUCGUAGUUGGAUAUUUUUUGAAAAUAAUAAUAUUCAAAAUUUAUAAUUUUAAAAUAAAUCAGAUCAAGGCAUAGUUUAUAGAUAAGGAGAGAUGGGUUACAAUAAUAAAAUUUAUAUGGUUAAUUGAUUUAAAAUUGGUUAUUAAAGUGGAUUUAAAAGUAAUAAAGUUUAAUUAGAUUUUAUGAUUUAGUUCUAAAAUAUGCACAUAUCGUCCGUCGCUCUCAUUAUUGAGAUAAGUCGUAACAAAGUAGAUGUACUGGAAAGUGUAUCUAGGUUUCA
rnacentral:ncRNA from 1 species